GUGUGCUUUCCUUGUUAUUAAUUCACAUGAGUGAAUCGUUGCAAAUGAUGCAUCUGGAUAAACACUGGACUUCUGUUUCCCCACAGCUGCAGAAGAAUCACAGUCUCAGCGGCUGCUGCUCCUGAGGGGCGCGCGUGCUGCCCGGUCUGGAGGGUUCGCUGCAAUCGGUGCUACAGCUUUAGGAACUGUGAUUUACUGCGGAUUUAAAACUCUUUAAACAGCCGACUUCCUGCUGAUGGGUCUGAGGGAAGAGCGGCAGCGACUCGGGCAGGGCCUCGGUGCGGAGGCUGGGAGGAGCGCCUGCUUUUUAGGAAAGGAUGCUUCAGACUCAGCCUCCCGUCCAUGCUCCUCUCCGGUGUGAGUGCAGAGAAGGUCCUGGGUUCUGUCUGCGGCUUCACUCUGGGGGUCUUGGACCUGGACCCGAGAGAGCCCAGAACCACAGGAACAGCAGAAGGGCCGGAGCGUCGCACAGCAACUGUGGGCCCGCGGUGGCUCUGGAGCCAGUCGGCGUGACUCUGCCAUUAGCUCUGUCCCCUUGUCUCAUGGACACAUUGCUAAAUCCAGUGGUCCAUUUCCUGGCCUUGUCUGACUUGACUGCCCUGAGUGUUUGGUGGAGUGAGUGACUGCACAUCCCUGAGACACUUCCUACUUUGUGUUCUUCACUGGGCUUCUGGUCUACCACACCCGUCAGCUUGCUCCUGGUUUUCUGGCUGUGCCUUCUCAUCCUGCAGUGGCUGUCCCAUCUCUCUGACCCCUUAAUGUCAUGGGUCCUCAGGCGCUCGACGAUCUCAUCUGGUUUUGUGAGUUACUUUAACUAUUACCUGUGGCACGAUGAUUUUUGUUUGGAGUUCCCAGCACAAAUCCCUCCCCUGCCUUCCAGACUAGUCUGUCAAACAUCUCUCAACAUCUCUGCUUGGAUAUGUAAUAGGAAUCUCAAAACCAGACAGGUCUAACUCUGCAUUUCUGAUCUCCUCACCCCACACCUCACUGCUCACUGACACUGCUUCUCUGGUGAUUCCCCUGAGCAGAUGGCAUUUCCCUCCUUCCAGCUUGUGCAGACCAGGAACUGGGAGUUCCUGAUCUGGACUCCUCCUCAACUUCAUGGCAUCUUCAGGUCUUAAAAGCUCUACCUGAGAGAUCUAUCCAGGCUUUAGCCCCGCCGGCCCUCCUUCACUGCCAUCUUGUCCAGCCCACCAUGACUUCUCUCCCACAGAUGGAAGUGCAGAAAGUAGACUGGGCCUUCCUUUCCCACAUUCGUCAGCUUUCUGACUGGGAGCUGGAGGUGGUGCUGCCACUUCCCUGCUGUGCCCACCCAGCCUCUCUGUGACUCCUCAAACCUGUCGGCACACUCCUGUGCUAGGGCCUUUGCACACACUUUUCUCCCUGCCCGAGCACCUCCCACUCCCUCCCUCCUCAGGUCUCUGCUGAAAGUCACCUUCUCAGUGAGGACCUCCAGGACUCAACGUCUUUGAAACGCACCCAAUUCCCUGCUCUGUUACUUUCCAAAGCACUUGUCAUCAUAUGUGGUAUAUUUCGCACUGACCUUGCUCUCACUGUAAACUCAGGGAGGGCGGGGGGCUUCCAUCUGUCUGUUCACGUCUCUCCCCUGGGGCCCAGAACCUUGAGCACACAGCGGGGGCUCAGCAAACACUUGUGAAAUGCGUGAAGGAGCAUAUGUGGAUUAUGUUUUAAAUGGUUAUCCUUGGGGAAUAGGAAUGAAAUUGACUUGAUGUUGAUGUCACUCAGUUCUGUUGUUAAUUUUAAUAGGCUGUGGAUGCUAUAGAAUUUUCUAGUAAUCAUAUCUCCCACAAAUAAUGAGAGUUUUGGCUCAUUCUUUCAUUUUCUUGCAUCUUUUAGCACUUUCUAUUGUUUUAUUGCAUGGGCAGAGCUUCUAAUGCAGAGUCAAAGGGAAGUGGUGAGAGGGGAUGUCCACAACGGUUCUUCUUGUCAAUGGAAAUACUUCUAAGGUUUCAGCAUUAAGUAUGAGUUUAUUAUUAUUUACAGAUAGCGUUUGGUUAGUCACAAUGCUCCUUUCUAUUCCUAAUUUGCUCGGAAUAUAUUUUGUAUUUUGUAGCCAUGAAUGAGUAUACAAUUGCAUCAAAUAGUUUUUAAUAAAGUAUUGAUUAUAAACUAUUAUAAUACUAUUAUAACUAUCAGUUACUAAAUUAUUAAGAUAAUUUUUUUCCUUUCAGAUAGUAUUACACAUUAAUUUUAGUAACAGGUAAUAUGUUAAUUGUACAAACAUAUUGUUUUGACGUUGAAUUACUCUUCCAUUGCUGACAUAGUACUAAUUGACUGUGAUGUAAUUAUAUAUUUUUUUAGACAUAACUCACUUCUUUUUUGGGGGGAGUUUUCUUAAGCAUUUUUACAUAAGGGAGAUUAUUAAAAAGUUUCUCCUGCUGUGCUGUGGUCUGGAUAUUUGCACCCCACCAAAUUCAUAAAUUGAAAUAUUGUAACCCCCAAGGUGAUGGUGGAGGAGGUGAGAUCCUUGGGAGGUGACACAGUCAUGAGGACAGAGCCUCAUAAAUAGGAUCAGUGCCUUAUGAAAGGAACCCCAGAGAGCUCCCUCACCCCUUCCAUCAUGUGAGGACACAGCGAGAAGAUGGCCAUUCACCCAUAAACCUGGAAUGGGCCCUCCACAGACACUGAACCUGCUGACGCUGCAAUCUUGGACUUCCAGCCUCCAAAACGCAGGAAGUGAGUUUCUGCUGUGUAUCAGCCCCCCUAUCUAUGACAUUUUGUCCCAGUAGCCUGGAUGGACUGAGGCACAUGGUCCUUGUUUGAUGUUUCAUAUCCAGGGCAUAGCAACCCGAUAAAACAAAGUGAGCAGUAGUUGCUACUUUUCUAUUCCAUGAAACGGUGUGGGAGGCAUGGCAGCUGGUAGUCCCUUUACAGUCUGGCAAGACUUUCCAGUAUAACCACCUAGGACUGAAAACUUACAGUAAAGGCUGGUUUUUGAUUGUAUUUUUUUGUUGUCGUUUUAAUGAUUAUUGCUUUGUUUACUUUUUAUAUACUUCAUCUUGGUUUGAUUUUG
rnacentral:lncRNA from 10 species